rnacentral:rRNA from 1 species
AUUGAACGCUGGCGGCAGGCCUCACACAUGCAAGUCGAACGAGUGGCAGACGGGUGAGUAAUGUCUGGGAAACUGCCUGAUGGAGGGGGAUAACUACUGGAAACGGUAGCUAAUACCGCAUACUAGCAGCUGUGCCCAGAUGCGAUUAGCUUGUAGGUGGGGGAACGGCUCACCAAGGCGACGAUCCCUAGCUGGUCUGAGAGGCUGACCAGCCACACUGGAACUGAGACACGGUCCAGACUCCUACGGGAGGCAGCAGUGGGGAAUAUUGCACAAUGGGCGCAAGCCUGAUGCAGCCAUGCCGCGUGUAUGAAGAAGGCCUUCGGGUUGUAAAGUACUUUCAGCGGGGAGGCGUUACCCGCAGAAGAAGCACCGGCUAACUCCGUGCCAGCAGCCGCGGUAAUUC